rnacentral:rRNA from 1 species
UACGAAGGGGGCUAGCGUUGCUCGGAAUCACUGGGCGUAAAGCGCACGUAGGCGGAUUGCUAAGUCAGGGGUGAAAUCCUGGAGCUCAACUCCAGAACUGCCUUUGAUACUGGCGAUCUUGAGUCCGGGAGAGGUGAGUGGAACUCCGAGUGUAGAGGUGAAAUUCGUAGAUAUUCGGAAGAACACCAGUGGCGAAGGCGGCUCACUGGCCCGGUACUGACGCUGAGGCACGAAAGCGUGGGGAGCAAACAGG